AUGGCGGCUGCGACAGCGUGCUCGGAUCACUGCCCACUCCUGCUGGCCAACACCACAACUCCAAAGAGAAAACCGGUUUUUCAUUUCGAGCAUUUCUGGCCGCGUUUUCCAAGGUUCCAUGACACUGUAAACCUGGCCUGGCAACGGCCGGUGAACCACACAUGCCCGAUCAUAAGGCUAAGGAUCAAACUGAAGAGAGUUGCUCAUGAUCUUACCAUAUGGGCCAGGUCCCAUUUCAGCGAUGCCAAACUUCAAUUCCACCUGGCCUGCGAGGUGAUACUGCGGCUGGAUGUUGCCCAGGAAAAGCGUGCCCUCUCUGCAGGGGAAUUCAGUCUGCGCAAGCAACUUAAGCAAAGAAUACUAGGGUUGGCUGCGAUCGAGAGGGCUCGCAAGAGGCAAGCCUCUAGGAUCACCUGGCUCAAGGAAGGGGACGCUCGCUCUUCUUUCUUCCAAGCCAAAAUCAAUUCACGAAAGCGGAAAAUUUUCAUUCACUCACUGGAAGUUGACAAUGCGGUCAUAACUGUGCACGAUGAUAAGGCUUCUGUUGCUCACUCACAUUUCUCCAACCUCCUGGGAAGAAAAGAGGUCAGAAAAUGCUCGUUCAACUGGGAGAUGCUGGACAUGCCCACAGUACAAAACGAGGGGCUUGACAACCCAUUUACCGAAGCUGAAGUUUGGGCAGCAAUGCUGGCGUCGCCGGCGGAUCGAGCUCCUGGCCCGGACGGAUUCUCGGGCAUGUUUUUCAAAUCAUGCUGGGGCACGAUAAAGGAGGAUGUAAUGGCUCUGUUCCACCAUCUUUACAACCUUGGAGGAGGGGGGAAUUUUGCUGAUUUGAACACGGCCAUGAUCGCCCUGCUCCCAAAGAAGGAUGGUGCUGCCAAGAUAAGCGACUUCCGGCCGAUCAGUCUCAUACACUCUGUAGCCAAGCUGUUUUCAAAAGUCCUGUCCAUUCACCUCGCCAACGUCAUCGACAAGCUCAUCAGCCCGGCGCAAACAGCUUUUCAGAGGAGGAAGUGCAUCCAAGACACUUUCCUUUAUGUGCAGAACACUGUCAGAAAACUACAUCGCAGCAAAACCCCGGCGCUUUUGCUGAAGCUUGACAUUGCAAGGGCCUUUGAUUGUGUUUCUUGGGAAUAUCUGUUAGAGCUUCUAGAGGUGCUUGGUUUUCCCCCGUGA
rnacentral:rRNA from 1 species